rnacentral:rRNA from 1 species
UGGGGAAUCUUGCGCAAUGCGCGAAAGCGUGACGCAGCAACGCCGCGUGGGGGAAGACGGCCUUCGGGUUGUAAACCCCUUUCAGGAGGGACGAAGGUUCGCCGGUGAAUAGCCGUGCGGAUUGACGGUACCUCCAGAAGAAGCUCCGGCUAACUACGUGCCAGCAGCCGCGGUAAUACGUAGGGAGCAAGCGUUGUCCGGAAUCAUUGGGCGUAAAGCGCGCGUAGGUGGCUUCAUAAGUCCGUUGUGAAAGUCAAAGGCUCAACCUUUGAAAGCCGAUGGAUACUGUGAAGCUAGAGUACGGAAGAGGCGAGUGGAAUUCCUGGUGUAGCGGUGGAAUGCGCAGAUAUCAGGAGGAACACCAAUAGCGAAGGCAGCUCGCUGGGACGUUACUGACACUGAGGCGCGAAAGCGUGGGGAGCGAACAG